rnacentral:rRNA from 1 species
UGGGGAAUAUUGGACAAUGGGCGAAAGCCUGAUCCAGCCAUGCCGCGUGAGUGAUGAAGGCCCUAGGGUUGUAAAGCUCUUUUGUGCGGGAAGAUAAUGACGGUACCGCAAGAAUAAGCCCCGGCUAACUUCGUGCCAGCAGCCGCGGUAAUACGAAGGGGGCUAGCGUUGCUCGGAAUCACUGGGCGUAAAGGGUGCGUAGGCGGGUUUCUAAGUCAGAGGUGAAAGCCUGGAGCUCAACUCCAGAACUGCCUUUGAUACUGGAAGGCUUGAGUUCGGGAGAGGUGAGUGGAACUGCGAGUGUAGAGGUGAAAUUCGUAGAUAUUCGCAAGAACACCAGUGGCGAAGGCGGCUCACUGGCCCGAUACUGACGCUGAGGCACGAAAGCGUGGGGAGCAAACA